rnacentral:tRNA from 1 species
UGGGAUGUAGCCAAGUGGUAAGGCAUUAGGUUUUGGCUCUAACAUUCGAAGGUUCGAAUCCUUCCUUCCCAG